AUGUAAUAAAAAUAAGUAGAUAAUUUUUU
rnacentral:piRNA from 1 species